GAGGAAUAUUGGUCAAUGGGCGUAAGCCUGAACCAGCCAUCCCGCGUGCAGGAAGAAGGCGCUAUGCGUCGUAAACUGCUUUUCCGGAGGAAGAAAACCCCUGACGUGUCGGGGCUUGCCGGUACUCUGGGAAUAAGCAUCGGCUAACUCCGUGCCAGCAGCCGCGGUAAUACGGAGGAUGCGAGCGUUAUCCGGAUUUAUUGGGUUUAAAGGGUGCGUAGGCGGAUUAAUAAGUCAGUGGUGAAAACCUUCAGCUUAACUGGAGACUUGCCAUUGAUACUGUUAGUCUUGAGUACGGUCAAGGUAGGCGGAAUGUGUAAUGUAGCGGUGAAAUGCUUAGAUAUUACACUGAACACCGAUUGCGAAGGGAGCUUACUGGGCCGCAACUGACGCUGAUGCACGAAAGCGUGGGGAGCGAAC
rnacentral:rRNA from 1 species